AGGGCGAGGAGAAAGUCCCACAGCCUUUCCAGUCCUGGUCUUGGAAGCCACAGCCUUCACUUCCUCUCUAUUCUGUUCAUUUGAGUGAGGUGCUGAGUCCUGCCCACACUCAGCGUUUGGGGUACAAACUCUUAAUGAGCAGGAUUGGGAACGUGCCCAGCAAGCUAGUGUCUUGGCAAAUGUAGCACAAGCAUUCGAGAGUGAUGCUGACGUGUCUGAUGGUGAAGAUGACAGGGACACUCUCCUCAGCUCAGUUGACCUGCUAUCGCCCAGCGGGCAGGCCGACGCGCACACACUAGCCAUGAUGCUUCAGGAGCAGCUGGACGCCAUCAACAAAGAGAUCAGGUUGAUUCAGGAAGAAAAAGAAAAUACAGAGCAGCGGGCAGAGGAGAUUGAAAGUCGAGUUGGCAGUGGAAGUCUAGACAAUCUUGGUCGUUUUAGAUCAAUGAGCUCCAUUCCCCCCUACCCUGCUUCCUCGCUUGCUAGCUCCUCCCCUCCGGGCAGUGGGCGCUCCACCCCACGAAGGAUCCCUCACAGCCCAGCUCGGGAAGUGGACAGACUGGGCGUCAUGACCCUUCCUAGUGAUUUAAGGAAACAUCGUAGAAAGUUGCCACCUUCCAGAGAAGAGGUACGAGAUGACAAGACAACCAUAAAGUGUGAAACCUCCCCGCCUUCCUCCCCGAGAGCCCUUCGGUUAGACCGGCUGCACAAAGGGGCGCUGCACACCGUCAGCCACGAGGACAUCAGGGACAUAAGGAACUCCACAGGCUCCCAGGAUGGUCCCGUGAGCAAC
rnacentral:misc_RNA from 1 species